AUACAAUUUCAUUAGUGAAAUAGUCAAGUAUAAUUUUUUCUACAAAUAACUUCCAUUCGAGAAAAAGUGUGGUUAAGGUAAACAGAUUAAAUUUACCUCCGUCAUUUUCUAUCGAUUACAUAAAGGAUGCAUUAAUGACAUGGUAAUUUAAUGGUAAUACUGCUCUUGUUCAAAUGGAUAUUGAAAACUGAUUCCAGUGUCUGCAGGAAAACACGAGUUCACUGUGGAUUUUUAUAUUUUAACAUGCCACAUGGUCAUUUUUCAUGAUCCUGUCUUUCUCCUGAUAGGGAAUCCCCAGACGACCUCAUAAUAGUGUAUGUCUUUUAAUUUCGUAUUGCUGUCCUGCCAUGUUUGAUACUACCUAGAUUUUGUUUAGUAAGAAAUAUUAUGCUAUAUAACAGGUAAUUUUACAUGCAAUAUAAAUUAAUUUUAGCUUUCUUGCUUAUUUUUAGAAAUAUCCGAAAUGGCAGAAGAUCCAGUGAAGAACGCACUCCAGCAAAUCAGGAGUGGCUUGAUGAAGGCGAGCAGCAAUACUGUAAACAUUGAUGACGUGGAACAGUGUUGCCGCAACGCUAUAGAGCAACUAGAAAAAAAAGUGAGAGAACAUCCCGAAAAUGGAGAAGAUUCAGGACAGGUAAGA